AUCUUUGCGCUUGGGGCAAUGACGCAGCUAGUGAGGUUCUAACCGAAGCGCGUCAAUUGCUGGUUUGGAUUCGGCCCAUUCUUGUAAAUAGCUUGUUCCUUAGUUAUAGUAAUACUACUAGUUAAAGGAAUAAUUGUGUUUAAAAUAAUAA